GGUGAGGUGCGAGAGUGGUUGAAUCGGGCGGUCUCGAAAACCGUUGUACCCGUAAGGGUACCGUGGGUUCGAAUCCCACCCUCACCGCCA
rnacentral:tRNA from 2 species